UACGUAGGGUGCGAGCGUUGUCCGGAUUUAUUGGGCGUAAAGAGCUCGUAGGCGGUUUGUCGCGUCGGCCGUGAAAUCUCCACGCUUAACGUGGAGCGUGCGGUCGAUACGGGCAGACUUGAGUUCGGUAGGGGAGACUGGAAUUCCCGGUGUAGUGGUGAAAUGCGUAGAUAUCGGGAGGAACACCAGUGGCGAAGGCGACUACCUGGCCUGUUCUUGACGCUGAGGCGCGAAAGCUAGGGGAGCAAACGGG
rnacentral:rRNA from 1 species